rnacentral:lncRNA from 1 species
AUGCCACCCAGACUGCGGGCGUGCUUGGGGCACGGGGACGAGCCAGGGGAUGAGCCAGGGGACCCCCUGCCCGUGCGCAGCAGGUCAGGCCCCCAAGCAAAGCCAGCAGCCCUCAACGGCUCCCUGGGGGCCGCAAGGAAGGAGCUGGGGGCGGUCGCAGCCACGGGCCUGUGCUGGGAGGCGUCGUGCCCAGGUGCGGGGGCCCUGCGGCCGCCCGCGGCUCCCUCCCGGCCCGCAAAGAGCAGCGGGCUCCGAAAGAGAGGGCGAAGCCCGGGACGGAGCGGUGCCACCCCCGGGCGUGGGGGGCCAGACCCCGGGCUGGGGGGAGCCGCCCGGCCGCGGCUGGGGCUGCGGGGCCGCCUCCGGGGCACCCUCCCGCUGCGCUGGGGACGGGGACGGAGCGGGAUGGCGGCCGCCCCGGCCCGCCCGCACUCACCCGGCCCCGCUCCGCGCCGCUCCGCCACCGCUCCGCCACCGCGUGCGGCCGCCCCUCGGCGGGGCCGGGCGGGGCGGGGCGGGGCGAGGCAGGGGGCGGGAGCGGGAGCCGGGGGCGCCCCGACCCCAGCGCCACGGCCGGGACCCCGCAGGACGCCGCCGUCGCGGCUCGGACUCCGUGCCCGGGCCCCACGGGCAGCCCGGCUCCAGCAGGGGGUUGGACGCGGGACGGGGAGCCCCGGGGGUGGCGGGGACCGGGCUCCCGAAGGAGCUCCCGCGUGCGCCCAGGGACUGCGUUCCCAGAGGAUGCCGCAUCCCGGGUACCACGCCCGGGUUCCCAGAGGAUGCCCCAUCCCAAGCACCCAACUUGGAGACGCUCCCAUGAUCAGCUCCAGCUCCGCGCGCGGAACUCCCUGGGGACCUUUUCCAGGCUUCACCACGCAGCCUAAAGAGGUUGAUUCACCCUUAAAAUGCCCCAAACGCUGCGAUAUUGUGUCACAUCCAUGCACGCACCAUACCAUGCCCUUCUGUUUCUGGGACGGUGCGGGGCUGUGUGCUGUCAGCACAGCCAGGCCAGCAUCCUGUCCACAGCUGUGGGAUCCUGCCUGGAUCCAAAACCACCCACGAGAUGGGGAUUUAAGAGGAAAUAAAAAUUAA